CUUGAUGGAGCCCAGCCACAGGGGCCGGUCGGCCGGCCGGUCCUGGCCGUAGGUGGCCAGCAGCGCUCGUGCCUC
rnacentral:antisense_RNA from 1 species